UUUCGAAAAAAAAAGAUGACGACGAAGUAUAAACGAAACUAUCACUAAUUUGUAAUUAUUCACGUGGCUGCACGAAAAAUAAUACGACACAAUUAGAAUUACAAAAAUGAGGUCGUCGUGUAAACUUUGGAGUCGCAUCUCUUGAUGGAAUAGCUGAACAUGCUGUCUAGCAGGUCUGGCCAUCAUAACCAAUUAACCUCACAAGAUGUGCAAGUUUUGCUUGUGCUGGUAAUAUUGACCCGAUUGACCUGUCAUCAGCAACAAUUUCAGCAUCACCACAUGGAUAAACAGCAUGGCGUUCCAUUGGAGGCACUUCCGGUGUCAAUCGAGUUAUAGGAAUCUCUCUUCUUCCCCCUUUCUUCCCAUAUCCGCCGUGACCUCGCGUGCAUAUAUACGUGAAUAAUGAGCGUGGGUGUAUUCACGAGGACGCCAGACGUCCUUUAUUUCCCUAUUCCGCCUCCACUGGUGCCUUUUUCAGCGGAUGCAGCACGUGUGUGGAGGUCUGGCCGUAUUUCCCAGACUGUAAGUGGAAUGGCGAAAAAACGGUGGAUUAAGGGGAGGAAUGGACAAGAUUUUGCAGCGCGGCGGAUGAAGCGGAGAAUGAAUAAAUGCACAGAUAAAUGGAUGUGGCAGUGAGGUCCUAUAGUAGUAGAUAAUAGCCGAUGGAAUCCAAUUGCAUUAGACAGAGAAUGAAAAGACUUUGAAAAGCCCAAAAA